rnacentral:lncRNA from 1 species
GUUAAAAACAGCGUAUAAACUGUCAGCUUAUUUCUCUUUGCAAGCAAUAUGAAAGAAUAAGGACUAACUGAAAUGAAGUCAUUGACUUGUUUGAUCAGCAAAGUAGAAAAGUAUGCUAGUAACCAGUGCAAAUAACUUCCUCGGUGCGCUAGGUCAAGAUGUUCUCCUGUGGUUUUAUUCUACCUGAAACUGAAUUUUAUAUGAAGUAACUAUUGCUAUUUUUCAUUAAAUACAGGGCUCUUCUGGAGGAAGCAACUACCAUGGUGGACAGGGAUCUUCUUACUCAGGAAGCAGCCAGUAUGGUGGGCAGGGCUCAUCAUAUUCUGGAGGCCGACAACAUGGUAAACCAGGAUCCUCAGGAAGCACUUAUUCUGGAAAGCAGGUAAGAAAGCUUUCAUCACAGCAUUUUCUUCUUCUUUUCUUGAUAAACAAAGAACCUAACAGAUAGUUCAUAGAGCAAUUUAUGAAUGCUUUGGUCUGCAGAUAACAUUGUGUAUUAGUUCCCUUUGUAUUAAACAAUAUUUAAACAAGCUGCUGUGAAAAAUAUGGCUUUAACUUGGGAAAGCUGUUUGAGUUAUCAGUUAUAUUCUAAGUAUGAAUCUGUCUUGCUUUACAUUGUGGUUUGUGGCCCC